GUCAUGCAGAUGAGGAGACAACAGUUUGUGCGUAAUUUGCGUCUGAGGCAUUCCUAUGAUGUCAUACUCUUUUCACCUUGCAGAUCUGAUUUACCCC